UACGUAGGGGGCAAGCGUUGUCCGGAAUUAUUUGGGCGUAAAGCGCGUGUAGGCGGCCAGAUAAGUCCGACUGUGGAAAUCCUCGAGGCUCAACUUCGAGCUGUCGGUGGAAACUGUCUGGCUAGAGUCCGGAAGAGGAGAAUGGAAUUCCAUGGUGUAGCGGUGAAAUGCGCAGAUAUCAGGAGAACACCCGUGGCGAAGGCGGUCUCUGGGACGGUACUGACGCUGAGACGCGAAAGCGUGGGGAGCGAACAGG
rnacentral:rRNA from 1 species